rnacentral:rRNA from 1 species
UACGAACUGUGCAAACGUUAUUCGGAAUCACUGGGCUUAAAGGGUGCGUAGGCGGUCGUUUAAGUAGGGUGUGAAAGCCCUCGGCUCAACCGAGGAAUUGCGCCCUAAACUGGAUGGCUGGAGUGAGAUAGGGGUGUGUGGAACUUCCGGUGGAGCGGUGAAAUGUGUUGAUAUCGGAAGGAACGCCGGUGGCGAAAGCGACACACUGGGUCUCAACUGACGCUGAGGCACGAAAGCCAGGGGAGCAAACAGG